rnacentral:rRNA from 1 species
UACAGAGGGUGCGAGCGUUGUCCGGAAUCGCUGGGCGUAAAGGGCGCGUAGGUGGUGACCUAAGCGUGCGGUGAAAGCCCGAGGCUCAACCUCGGGUCGGCCGUGCGAACUGGGUCACUGGAGCAGAAUAGAGGCAGGUGGAAUUCCGGGUGUAGCGGUGGAAUGCGUAGAGAUCCGGAAGAACACCGGUGGCGAAGGCGGCCUGCUGGGUUCUGGCUGACACUGAGGCGCGACAGCGUGGGGAGCAAACAGG